CUGCAUGCAUGCAGAUCACACACCUGGAUUCCAUUAUCUCUCUGACUUCCAGCCCAGGGAACCAAGGAAGCCCAGAAUCUUUGAGUCACAUCCUCUUCCUCUUCUCUGCGGAACCCAGUGGGGCUCUCUCACCAGGAGGAGGGGGUUGAGGUUUCAGAUUAAACGCCACCCACCACGUCUACCCUCUAAUGCCUUUCCUGGCUCCAUAAAGUAGGUCAGAUCACUUUGCUCUUUUUCCCCGUAACAUCUUGUGCCUUCACUGAUGUCAACUGUUGCAGAGAACAGCAUGGGUGACACACUUCACUGGACAAAAAAUGGAAGGGCAUGACUGAACCUUUAUUGGAACAAAAUAUGGGCUCAGCCAGCUGCGGUGGCUCAUGCCUGUAAUCCCAACAGUUUGGGAGGCCCAGUCAGGUGGAUCACCUGAGGUCAAGAGUUUGAGACCAGCCUGACCAACAUGACAAAGCCCCAUCUCUACUAAAAAUACAAAAUUAGCUGGGCAUGUUGGCACAUGCCUGUAAUCCAGCUACUCCGGAGGCUGAGGCAGGAGAAACGCUUGAACUCGGGAGGCGGAGGUUGCGGUGAGCCAAGAUCGUGCCACUUCACUCCAGCCUGGGCAACAGGAGUGAAACUCCAUCUCAAAAAAAAAAAAAAAAAAAUGUGUUCAAGGACCUUCACCCAGGAAUGCAAACUUUCUCCUGCUGCUUCCUAUGGAUACUAUUUAAAAUCAAAUGAAGGGGGCUUUUUUCCUAUUAUAUAUAGACUGAAUCUAUAAAAGGCUAUGAAACACCCACCAGAAGGACAACCCAAAAGAAAUUUAACAACAAGUACAGAUCUACAAGGAAAAGCCUUUGUAAUGUUUUCCAAGGCACCACAAUUUUUGAACAUUACAUGCAGGAAAAUAUUAUAUGGAAGAAAUGUCACUUUACAAGCCUUCAGAUGAGGCCUUUUCUAUUUUAAUGAGUGUCAUAUAUGAGGAAAUGUUUGAUAUAACAGCAUUUCACUGAACUGUAUUGUUGGUAUAAACUGCAGUUACUUUGGACUUUCAGCUUUAAUCUUGUGAGAAAUAGAUUUCUAAAUACCUUUGGCAAGAUGUUCAAGGUCUAUUUCUUUCCCAGUGUGGAUUUUAAUUCAAAAGAUCCAGCCAUGCUCACAUUUGUGGUAUUCCUCAGGUUCACUAAAGGUAAACAAAUUAACAAAAUAUUGAAUGAAUGGUAAAGAUGUUUCCGUUCAAUUAUUCUUAAACACGGAAAAUGGGGUACACAUGAAUUUGCUCAGUUUUAAAUUACCCUUAUCAUUUAAAAACCACCUGGAUGGGUUCAAGAAGUAAUGUGAGGCUGAGAAAAAUAUGAAUUAAUGAAGAACACAUUUUGGUGAUAGGCCUAUAAAUAAAAAUUGUUUCUAUGAGUAUAGUUGGCACCCACAGAUUGAACAGUAAUGCAGGCAGACACAGCUUUCUACUGUCUUUUUAUGUAAAAAUUGGUUGGUUUCUGCUUUCUUUGCUAUGCUAAUAAAUGCCAGGGAAAGUGUUAGCUGCAUUUUAACUUUUUGUUUACAUAGUUGCACACAUACUGAGCAAGUUCCCACGGAAUACAGCUUACCACACCUACUUAAGGGGUUCAAACUCACACAAUUAAUCACGCCUUUAAAAAAAUGAUUUGGUUUCCCACAUUCGAGAUAAUAGGCCUUUGUUAUUUUUAACAAUUUUGGCAUAUGAGAUAUGUAACAACUGCUUGAAUAUAACAGCGUAGGCUUUGUUACAAUCAAUCGUUCAAUUUAAUAGGUCUGGAUAGUAAAAGACUGCUGAUUCUUCUAGAUGGGAAGACAUUUCUCCCGGGAAGAAUGCAGAAUAAAAAAACCCAAAAGCAAAUUUCUUUGAAUUUUCAACAGGAGAAGCCUACUUACAUUGGUUUAUUCAAACCAAAGCAUCUUUUUCAGAUUGGAAAACUGAAGGCAUCAAAUUAAAAAGAAAAUACUAAACAGUUGGAGUGUGAAGCAAUAGCCCCACUUCCUAAAAACAGCAACCAAAGACCUCUUUAAAAUGUAGCAGUAGUAGAGAGAAGGCUAACAGAAAGUCACCUCAUCUAUAGUCAAUGUGCUUUCACAUUUUCUCCCAUCUGAUGUCCCUCAUGAUAACCCAUGAGGAAGGUGAGGCCAGCCCCGACACCGAGAGGCUGGGAGCAAGACUCCAAAUGGAAGCACAGGUGUCUAGAUAUUUAUAUUUUACACAAGCUAACAACCUGUUUUUAAAAAUAUUUGGCUGGGCUCAGUGGCUCACGCCUGUAAUCCCAGCACUUUGGGAGGCUGAGAUGUGAGGCUCACCUGAGGUCAGGAGUUUGAGAGCAGCCUGGCCAACAUAGUGAAACCCCAUCUCUACUAAAAAUACAAAAAUUAGCCGGGCGUGGCGGUGGCGCAUGCCUGCAAUCCCAGCUACUCAUGAGGCUGAGGCAAAAGAAUCACUUGAACUCAGGAGGCAGAGGUUGCAUGAGCUGAGAUUGAGCCACUGCACUCCAGCCUGAGUGAAAGUGAGACUUUUUCUCAAAAUAGUAAUAAUAAUAAUAAUAAUAAAAGAUAUUUAAUAUGUUCUAAUUGAAAUGUUUCUAAGACAAAGAAAUGAUAAAUCCUUGAGGUGAUGGAGACCUAAUUAACCUGAUGUGAUUAUUAUAAUUGCAUGCCUGUAUCAGAACAUCACAUGUACCUAAUGAAUAUAAACACUUAUUAUGUCCUCAAAAUAAUUAACUUUUUUUCAAAAUUGAAAAAUAUAUGUAAAGCUACAGUUUAUAGAUAACUGAAAGUUGACAAAAUAGCAAAGAAAACUGAAUUUAACUUUUAUUGUGUAUAUCUGGGUGUUUAUAAAGAGAACUGAAAACAGCAGUAUUGUUCAAUUUGUCCUAAUCUCUCUUCAGUUGAAAUGAUAACCUGCGUUCUAAUGGCCAAAAAAAAUAGUCUAUUAAAUUUAGUUUGGAGACUAUUUGUACAUGAAUCUUUUCCUGUAGAGCCAAUGAAACAUUUUCAUUUCUCCUUGUAAUUUCCAUGUAUUUCAAUGGAAUGUUGCAUAUAUCACGUGCAGUUUCUUGCAAUUUAGAAAAAGCAUUUUUUCUAAAGGUAUUUAUUUAGUUAUUUAGUUAUUUAUUUUAAUCCUUUUGAAAAUGAAGUAGCCACACACAUUUGGAGUGGAGAUGGUCAUUAUCUUUUGUUAAUAUUAUUAUGAGCAAGCAACAUGGAUAGUACAUAUUCAUAAUUAAAUUCAUAAUUCAUUUUCUAAUAAAAACCACAAUUUGCUUUUUAUUUGAAGAAUGUCUCAGUGUGACUUUUGAAAUAUUUACUUUUUAUAUGUUUUUCCCCCACUUUCUUAUCCAAUAAGUUAAUGAUCUAAUUUGAAUUCUCCAUCCCAGAUAGAAGUCGUAUUUUUCAUUAUUUUUAAUUCAUAACUACAUUUUCAGCCAUUCUAUUAACAAAUUGGAAAUUAUCUCUACUGAAUCUAAAAAGCUUUUAUUUU
rnacentral:lncRNA from 1 species